UCUACUAUACAGUUGCUUUGCGAGCGGCAGAGUACAAACGUAUGGAGAUACCUUGAAGCAAUCAACGGGUAGUUAUCAUCGUUACUCUCUGUUGUUUUCAUUAUUAACCUGAAAAAAAAAACAGUAUCUUAUAAAUAUAUAUUGGUAUGGUGUUGUGAAUACACAGGAGAGUGGAUCUAAGCGAAGGGUUAAGGAAACUACAAUGCAGAACUUUAAUAUUCAUCGGUGAAAACUCUGCUUACCACUCAGAAGCCGUUCACAUGACCACAAAGCUAGACAGACGAUACGGCGCACUAGUCGAGGUACAAGGAAGCGGAUCACUGGUGACAGAGGAACAGCCACAGGCGAUGGUAAUACCGAUGGAAUACUUUUUGAUGGGAUACGGUUUGUA
rnacentral:lncRNA from 1 species